rnacentral:rRNA from 1 species
GACGAACGCUGGCGGCGUGCUUAACACAUGCAAGUCGAACGGAAAGGCCCUGCUUUUGUGGGGUGCUCGAGUGGCGAACGGGUGAGUAACACGUGAGUAACCUGCCCUUGACUUUGGGUUAACUUCAGGAAACUGGGGCUAAUACCGGAUAGGAGCUCCUGCUGCAUGGUGGGGGUUGGAAAGUUUCGGCGGUUGGGGAUGGACUCGCGGCUUAUCAGCUUGUUGGUGGGGUAGUGGCUUACCAAGGCUUUGACGGGUAGCCGGCCUGAGAGGGUGACCGGCCACAUUGGGACUGAGAUACGGCCCAGACUCCUACGGGAGGCAGCAGUGGGGAAUAUUGCACAAUGGGCGGAAGCCUGAUGCAGCAACGCCGCGUGCGGGAUGACGGCCUUCGGGUUGUAAACCGCUUUCGCCUGUGACGAAGCGUGAGUGACGGUAAUGGGUAAAGAAGCACCGGCUAACUACGU